AGUGAACGCUGGCGGUAGGCCUAACACAUGCAAGUCGAACGGCAGCACAGUAAGAUCUUGCUCUUACGGGUGGCGAGUGGCGGACGGGUGAGGAAUACAUCGGAAUCUACUUUUUCGUGGGUGAUAACGUAGGGAAACUUACGCUAAUACCGCAUACGACCUACGGGUGAAAGCAGUGGAUCUUCGGACCUUUCGCGAUUGAAUGAGCCGAUGUCGGAUUAGCUAGGUGGCGGGGUAAAGGCCCACCAAGGCGAGGAUCCGUAGCUGGUCCGAGAGGAUGGUCCGCCACACUGGAACUGAGACACGGUCCAGACUCCUACGGGAGGCAGCAGUGGGGAAUAUUGGACAAUGGGCGGAAGCCUGAUCCAGCCAUACCGCGUGGGUGAAGAAGGCCUUCGGGUUGUAAAGACCUUUUGUUGGGAAAGAAAAGCAGCAGGUUAAUACCCCGCUGUUCUGACGGUACCCAAAGAAUAAGCACCGGCUAAAUUCGUG
rnacentral:rRNA from 1 species